rnacentral:rRNA from 1 species
AUUGAACGCUGGCGGCAGGCUUAACACAUGCAAGUCGAGCGGGGUGAUGGUGCUUGCACUAUCACUUAGCGGCGGACGGGUGAGUAAUGCUUAGGAAUCUGCCUAUUAGUGGGGGGCAACAUCUCGAAGGGGAUGCUAAUACCGCAUACGUCCUACGGGAGAAAGCAGGGGAUCACUUGUGACCUUGCGCUAAUAGAUGAGCCUAAGUCGGAUUAGCUGGUUGGUGGGGUAAAGGCCUACCAAGGCGACGAUCUGUAGCGGGUCUGAGAGGAUGAUCCGCCACACUGGGACUGAGACACGGCCCAGACUCCUACGGGAGGCAGCAGUGGGGAAUAUUGGACAAUGGGGGGAACCCUGAUCCAGCCAUGCCGCGUGUGUGAAGAAGGCCUUAUGGUUGUAAAGCACUUUAAGCGAGGAGGAGGCUCUUUUGGUUAAUACCCAAGAUGAGUGGACGUUACUCGCAGAAUAAGCACCGGCUAACUCUGUGCCAGCCGCCGCAGUAA